GCAAGUCGAGCGUACUGAUUAGAAGCUUGCUUCUAUGACGUUAGCGGCGGACGGGUGAGUAACACGUGGGCAACCUGCCUGUAAGACUGGGAUAACUUCGGGAAACCGAAGCUAAUACCGGAUAGGAUCUUCUCCUUCAUGGGAGAUGAUUGAAAGAUGGUUUCGGCUAUCACUUACAGAUGGGCCCGCGGUGCAUUAGCUAGUUGGUGAGGUAACGGCUCACCAAGGCAACGAUGCAUAGCCGACCUGAGAGGGUGAUCGGCCACACUGGGACUGAGACACGGUCCAGACUCCUACGGGAGGCAGCAGUAGGGAAUCUUCCGCAAUGGACGAAAGUCUGACGGAGCAACGCCGCGUGAGUGAUGAAGGCUUUCGGGUCGUAAAACUCUGUUGUUAGGGAAGAACAAGUACGAGAGUAACUGCUCGUACCUUGACGGUGCCUAACCAGAAGUCUCGGCUAACUACGUGCCAGCAGCCGCGGUAAUACGUAGGUGGCAUGCUGUUAUCCGGAAUUAUUGGGCGUACAGCGCGCGCAGGCGGUUUCUUAAGUCUGAUGUGAUAGCCCACGGCUCAGCCGUGGAGGGUCAGUGUGAUCAGUGGAACUUGAGUGCAGAAGAGAGGAGCAGAAUUUCUCAUGUAGCGCUGUCAUGCGUAGAGAUGUGGAGGAACACGA
rnacentral:rRNA from 2 species